rnacentral:rRNA from 1 species
CAGUCGCCGCGGGAAUACGUAGGGUGCAAGCGUUAAUCGGAAUUACUGGGCGUAAAGCGUGCGCAGGCGGUUAUAUAAGACAGAUGUGAAAUCCCCGGGCUCAACCUGGGAACUGCAUUUGUGACUGUAUAGCUAGAGUACGGCAGAGGGGGAUGGAAUUCCGCGUGUAGCAGUGAAAUGCGUAGAUAUGCGGAGGAACACCGAUGGCGAAGGCAAUCCCCUGGGCCUGUACUGACGCUCAUGCACGAAAGCGUGGGGAGCAAACAGGAUUAGAUACCCGGGUAGUCCCUGUCUCUUAUAA